ACGCCAGUGGUGAAACGGUUAUCAUGCUUGCCUUCCACGGAAUGCCCGAGGCAGCAAGCGGCAGGGGUUCGACUCCCUUCUGGCGUA